rnacentral:rRNA from 1 species
UACGGGGGGGGCGAGCGUUGUUCGGAAUCACUGGGCGUAAAGGGCGCGUAGGCGGCCCGCACAAGUCUGCGGUGAAAACCUCCGGCUUAACCGGGGGCCGGCCGUGGAAACUGUCGGGCUGGAGGCUGGGAGAGGGCAGCGGAAUUCCCGGUGUAGCGGUGAAAUGCGUAGAUAUCUGGAGGAACACCGGUGGCGAAGGCGGCAUCCUGGACCGACACUGACACUGAGGAGCGAAAGCCAGGGGAGCAAACAGG